CCUACGGGAGGCAGCAGUGAGGAAUAUUGGUCAAUGGCCGGAAGGCUGAACCAGCCAUGCCGCGUGAAGGUCAGUGCCCUAUGGGCGUUAAACUUCUUUUGUGCGGGAGGAAUAAUGGUCACGUGUGGCCAGACGAGAGUACCGUACGAAUAAGCAUCGGCUAAGUCCGUGCAAGCAGCCGCGGUAAUACGGGGGAUGCAAGGUUUAUCCGGAUUUAUUGGGUUAAAGGGGUGCGUAGGGGGAUCGUAAAGUCGGUGGUAAAAUUGAGGGGCUCAACCCCUUCCCGCCAUUGAAACUGGCGCUCUUGAGUGGAAGAGAAGUAUGCGGAAUGCGUGGUGUAGCGGUGAAAUGCAUAGAUAUCACGCAGAACCCCGAUUGCGAAGGCAGUCUGCCGGCUUCCGACUGACGCUGAAGCGCGAAAGCGUGGGGAUCGAACAGGAUUAGAUACCCCUGUAGUC
rnacentral:rRNA from 1 species